UGGGGAAUAUUGGACAAUGGGGGCAACCCUGAUCCAGCCAUGCCGCGUGUGUGAAGAAGGCCUUUUGGUUGUAAAGCACUUUAAGCAGGGAGGAGAGGCUAAUGGUUAAUACCCAUUAGAUUAGACGUUACCUGCAGAAUAAGCACCGGCUAACUCUGUGCCAGCAGCCGCGGUAAUACAGAGGGUGCGAGCGUUAAUCGGAAUUACUGGGCGUAAAGCGAGUGUAGGUGGCUCAUUAAGUCACAUGUGAAAAUCCCCGGGCUUAAACCUGGGAACUGCAUGUGAUACUGGUGGUGCUAGAAUAUGUGAGAGGGAAGUAGAAUUCCAGGUGUAGCGGUGAAAUGCGUAGAGAUCUGGAGGAAUACCGAUGGCGAAGGCAGCUUCCUGGCAUAAUAUUGACACUGAGAUUCGAAAGCGUGGGUAGCAAAACAGGAUUAGAUACCCUGGUAGUCCACGCCGUAAAACGAUGUCUACUAGCCGUUGGGGUCCUUGAGACUUUAGUGGCGCAGUUAACGCGAUAAGUAGACCGCCUGGGGAGUACGGCCGCAAAGGUUAAAAAC
rnacentral:rRNA from 1 species